rnacentral:rRNA from 1 species
AUGAGGAAAGUAUUAUUCGCCAACAGGGAUGAAUAUCUCUUCUUUGGAGAAGAAAAUAGGCUGAAAGUAUUUCAGCCAAAUACAUUCAAUUUCAAGCCAAAACUCAUAUCAAGCUUGAUGAAGCUCAAAGAUGCAUAUUGGAUAAUUUUUGUUCCAAUAUACUCUCAAGAGAGAGGAAAAAGGAUAUUUUUUAUCAAUUCUUAA